CCCAAAUUCCCUUUGGCUGCAUAUGAAGAGCCUUACAUUCACAUUUCAGUGAAUUUCUGUUUGCAGAAAGAGAAAGUAGUGCAAAUGCCCAUGUGGACUGCAGGACUGUUCACACUUGGCUCUGGUUCUGCAGUCACGUCAGCAUCAUCAGUCCUUCUGUCUAGCAGUGCAGGCUUCAUCGCAGGAGGCCUAAAAGUUCACGUGCAGAAUUCUUGCAGGUUCAGUGCAACAGUCCUUUCCUGUUUUCUAAGAAGAACUGCUUUCCCCCCAGGCUGAUCAUGAGCCACCCCAACCAUGUGAUCCAAUGAGUAUAGUGACGAUGUUUCUGAGGCCUUCAGGUAAGGGCUCUGUUUCCUCCCUCCUUCACUUCUUUUCAUGGCAUGUGUUGUGGUAAAUGUUGG
rnacentral:lncRNA from 1 species